rnacentral:rRNA from 1 species
AUGACCAUGGUGGAGAUGCAGCCACCACCGCCUCGUUCGCGCAAGCCGUCCCUGACACCAAUCAGCGAUCUCUUGGACGAGUUUGCCGAUGUCUUCGCCACGCCUACGGGCCUACCCCCUCAUAGGCAGUACGAUCACGCGGUCACCUGGGAGGAAGGAGCUCAACCCACCAACACCAGGCCGUAUCGUUACUCGCCACUGCAGAAGGACGAAAUCGAGCGGCAAGUGAAAGAAAUGCUCGACGUCGGGGUGAUCACCCACUCCGUCAGCCCGUACGCUGCACCCGUGCUGCUAGUGAAGAAGAAGGACGGGACGUGGCACUUCUGCGUGGAUUACAGACGUCUCAACAACGUCACUGUGAAGAACAAAUUUCCUUUGCCGAUCAUGGACGAACUACUUGAUGAACUGGCCGGCGCGGCAUUCUUCUCCAAGCUUGACUUGCGCGUAGGCUAUCAUCAGAUUCGCAUGCGCGAGGAGGACGAACACAAGACUGCAUUCAAAACCCACCAUGGCCACUUCCAGUUCCGCGCCAUGUCGUUCGGCCUGACGAAUGCCCCUGCAACCUUCCAGUGCUUGAUGAAUGCAUCGUCGCCAAGUAUACACGUAAGUUUGUCAUCAUCUUCAUUGACGACAUUCUUGUUUUCAGUGAGACAUGGAAGAGCAGCUGGAGCACCUUCACCUCGUCCUGAGCUUGCUCCGCGAGCACCAGCUCUACGCCAAGAUGUCGAAGUGUUCAUUUGCGCAAGACCACAUUGA